rnacentral:rRNA from 1 species
UACGUAGGGAGCAAGCGUUGUCCGGAUUUACUGGGUGUAAAGGGUGCGUAGGCGGCUUUGCAAGUCAGAAGUGAAAUCCAUGGGCUUAACCCAUGAACUGCUUUUGAAACUGCAGAGCUUGAGUGGAGUAGAGGUAGGCGGAAUGCGCGGUGUAGCGGUGAAAUGCAUAGAUAUCGCGCAGAACCCCGAUUGCGAAGGCAGCCUGCCGGCCCCACACUGACGCUGAGGCACGAAAGCGUGGGGAUCGAACAGG